AUGGUGAACCCUGUCUCUACUAAAAAUUACAAAAAUUAGCUGAGCAUGGUGGCAUGUGCCUGUAUCCCAGCUACUUGGGAGGUUGAGGCAGGAGAA